rnacentral:rRNA from 1 species
GACGAACGCUGGCGGCGUGCUUAACACAUGCAAGUCGUACGGUAAGGCCCUUUCGGGGGUACCCGAGUGGCGAACGGGUGAGUAACACGUGCGUAACCUGCCCACAACUUUGGGAUAACGCUAGGAAACUGGUGCUAAUACUGGAUAUGUGCUCCUGCUGCCUGGUGGGGGUUGGAAAGCUCCGGCGGUUGUGGAUGGACUUGCGGCCUAGCCGCUUGUUGGUGGGGUAGUGGGCUACCAAGGCGGCGACGAGUAGCCGGCCUGAGAGGGUGACCGGCCACAGUGAGACUGAGAUACGGCCCAGACUCCUACGGGAGGGAGCGGUGGGGGAUAGUGCACAAUGGGCGCAAGCCUGAUGCAGCAACGCCGCGGGCGGGAGGACGGCCUUCGGGUUGUAAACCGCUUUCAGCAGGGACGAAGCUGUUUGUGACGGUACCUGCAGAAGAAGCACCGGCUAACUACGUG